rnacentral:rRNA from 1 species
AGUGAACGCUGGCGGUAGGCCUAACACAUGCAAGUCGAACGGCAGCACAGUAAGAGCUUGCUCUUACGGGUGGCGAGUGGCGGACGGGUGAGGAAUACAUCGGAAUCUACUUUUUCGUGGGGGAUAACGUAGGGAAACUUACGCUAAUACCGCAUACGACCUACGGGUGAAAGCAGGGGAUCUUCGGACCUUGCGCGAUUGAAUGAGCCGAUGUCGGAUUAGCUAGUUGGCGGGGUAAAGGCCAACCAAGGCGACGAUCCGUAGCUGGUCUGAGAGGAUGGUCAGCCACACUAGAACGUGAACACGGUCCAGACUCCUACGAGAGGCAGCAGUGGGGAAUAUUGGACAAUGGGCGCAAGCCUGAUCCAGCCAUACCGCGUGGGUGAAGGAGGCCUUCGGGUUGUAAAGCCCUUUUGUUGGGAAAGAAAAGCAGCAGGUUAAUACCCCGCUGUUCUGACGGUACCCAAAGAAUAAGCACCGGCUAACUUCGUG